rnacentral:rRNA from 1 species
UAAUAGCGUAUAUUAAAGUUGUUGCAGUUAAAAAGCUCGUAGUUGGAUUUCUGGCAGAGUGUCCUUUGGCCAGCAUGACGUUUGGUCCAGAGCGCUCUACCAUCCUUCUGUUAACCUUUACAGGAUUCGUUUUCUGCAUUGGGGCUCAGAUAUUUUACCUUGAGAAAAUUAGAGUGUUCAAAGCAGGCAAUCGCUUGAAUACAUUAGCAUGGAAUAAUAGAAUAGGACUUUGGUUCUAUUUUGUUGGUUUCUAGGACCGAAGUAAUGAUUAAUAGGGACAGUUGGGGGCAUUAGUAUUUAAUUGUCAGAGGUGAAAUUCUUGGAUUUAUGAAAGACUAACUACUGCGAAAGCAUUUGCCAAGGAUGUUUUCAUUAAUCAAGAACGAAAGUUAGGGGAUCGAAGACGAUUAGAUACCAU